rnacentral:rRNA from 1 species
UAUGGUAAUUGUCAGCAGCCGCGGUAAUACGUAGGGAGCAAGCGUUGUCCGGAUUUACUGGGUGUAAAGGGUGCGUAGGCGGAUUGGCAAGUCAGAAGUGAAAUCCAUGGGCUUAACCCAUGAACUGCUUUUGAAACUGUUAGUCUUGAGUGAAGUAGAGGUAGGCGGAAUUCCCGGUGUAGCGGUGAAAUGCGUAGAGAUCGGGAGGAACACCAGUGGCGAAGGCGGCCUACUGGGCUUUAACUGACGCUGAGGCACGAAAGUGUGGGUAGCAAACAGG